AUUGAACGCUGGCGGCAUGCUUUACACAUGCAAGUCGAGCGGCAGCGCGGCCUUCGGGCUGGCGGCGAGCGGCGAACGGGUGAGUAAUGCAUCGGAACAUGCCCAGUCGUGGGGGAUAACACUUCGAAAGAAGUGCUAAUACCGCAUACGUCCUGAGGGGGAAAGCGGGGGAUCGCAAGACCUCGCGCGAUUGGAGUGGCCGAUGUCAGAUUAGCUAGUUGGUGGGGUAAAGGCCUACCAAGGCGACGAUCUGUAGCUGGUCUGAGAGGAUGAGCAGCCACACUGGGACUGAGACACGGCCCAGACUCCUACGGGAGGCAGCAGUGGGGAAUUUUGGACAAUGGGGGCAAGCCUGAUCCAGCCAUGCCGCGUGAGUGAAGAAGGCCUUCGGGUUGUAAAGCUCUUUCGGCAGGAACGAAACGGUGGGCUCUAACAUAGGCCGCUAAUGACGGUACCUGAAGAAGAAGCACCGGCUAACUACGUG
rnacentral:rRNA from 1 species